UACGUAGGGUGCGAGCGUUAAUCGGAAAUUACUGGGCGUAAAAGUGUGCGCAGGCGCAAAGCAAGUCGAGUGUGAAAGCCCCGGGCUUAACUUGGGAAUUGCGCUCGAAACUACUUUGCUGGAGUGUGGCAGAGGAAGGUGGAAUUCCACGUGUAGCGGUGAAAUGCGUAGAGAUGUGGAGGAACACCAAUGGCGAAGGCAGCCUUCUGGGCCAACACUGACGCUCAUGCACGAAAGCGUGGGGAGCAAACAGG
rnacentral:rRNA from 1 species